UUGAGAGUUUGAUCCUGGCUCAGGAUAAACGCUGGCGGCAUGCUUUACACAUGCAAGUCGAACGAUCGUCGUGUUAAUUGAAGCUUCGGCUAAUUUUAACACAAUGGCGAUAGUGGCAAACGGGUGAGUAACGCGUAGAAAUUUUCUCUUAGUGGGGGAUAGCUAGUCGAAAGAUUAAGUAAUACCCUAUGUGAACGCAAGUUUAAAGAAUUUAUUCACUAAGAGUGAAGUCUGCGUCCCAUCAGCUUGUUGGUAAGGUAAUGGCUUACCAAGGCUAAGACGGGUAGCUGGUCUGAGAGGAUGAUCAGCCACACUGGGACUGCGACACGGCCCAGACACCUACGGGUGGCAGCAGUGGGGAAUUUUCGGCAAUGGGCGCAAGCCUGACCGAGCAAUGCCGCGUGCAGGAUGACAGCCCUAUGGGUUGUAAACUGCUGUGGAGUCUAUCUAAAAAAAUGAAGAAAACUCUAGAAAGAGGUUGCUAACUCUGUGCCAGCAGCAGCGGUAAUACAGAGACCUCAAGCGUUAUCCGGUAUUAUUGGGUGUAAAGCGUUCCGAUCGGUGGUUCAAUAUGUCUGUUGUGAAAGACCGAGGCUCAACCUCGUGUUUGCAGCAGAAACUGUUGAACUAGAAUAGUAAAAGGGUGGCUGGAACUCUGCAAGUAGCGGUGAAAUGCGUUGAUAUGCAGGGGAACACCAAAAGCGAAGGCAGGCCACUAGGUACUUAUUGACACUGCUAGGACGAAAGCGUGGGGAGAGAAUGGGAUUAGAUACCCCAGUAUUCCACGCCCUAAACGAUGAGUGCUUGCUUUUAGGAAGAAUUAAUCCUUCUUAGAGGCAAAAGCUAACGCUAUAAGCACUCCACCUGUAAAGUACGAGCGCAAGCUUAAAACAUAAAGGAAUUGACGGGAACCCGCACAAGCGGUGGAUCAUGCGGCUUAAUUCGAAUCUAAGCGAGGAACCUCACCUAGAUUUGACAUGUAACUGCAAAUCCUAUGAAAAUAGGACUUCUUCGAGAGUGUUACACAGAUGAUGCACGGUCGUCGUCAGCUCGUGUCGUGAGAUGUUCGGUUAAGUCCGAAAACGAGCGCAACCCCAAUCUUUAGUUAUUUAAUGUCUAAAGAAACUGCCCGGGAUUAACCGGGAGGAAGGCUGGGAUGACGUCAGAUCAGCGUGUCUCUUACAUCUAGGGCUGCACGCAUGAUACAAUGGGUAUGGUACAACAGGACGCCAAGCGGUAACGCGGAGCAAAUCCUCUAAAACCACCCUCAGUACGGAUCGAAGGCUGAAACUCGCCUUCGUGAAGCUGGAAUCGCUAGUAAUCGUGAAUCAGCCUCGUCGCGGUGAAUACGUUCUCGGGUUUUGUACACACUGCCCAUCAUGGCCUGGAAAUUGGGAGCGCCCCAAAACCUCGAAUUAUCGGGGUAAAAGGCGAAACCAAGAACUGGGUUAAAGUUGUAACAAGGCAUCCGUAGCGGAAGCUGUGGAUGGAUCACCUCCUUUCUA
rnacentral:rRNA from 1 species